GACUUUGCGCAUUGGUGGUAACGUAGCCAAUGAAGUUUAUUUGAGGCGCGGUUGUUAUUAGUUGAAAACUACUUAUGUCCCAAUCGGCUCAUCAAAAUACCAUUCAUCAACACUAUUAUAUUGGUCACUAAUAAUAAUAA
rfam:Schistosoma margrebowiei strain Zambia genome assembly, scaffold: SMRZ_contig0001029